UUUUGUGGCCAUACCAACUUGUCAGUGGCUCAUCUUGUCUGAUCUUGGACGCUAAGCGGGUUGAGCCUGGUUAGGACUUGGAUGGAAGACCACUGUGAUUAGGUUCCACAAUGG
rnacentral:rRNA from 1 species